rnacentral:lncRNA from 10 species
ACACCACCACGCCGUACGCUGCGUUAGCGGAAGUUUAAUGGCCCCAUUGGUGGGAUGCGUGGCCAAUAAAGGGCAAGAAUAAGGCGGAUUCCGCCUUCCUCGUGGCUGACUGGAUGCAUCCGCUGGUACUGAUUUACGAAGAGAAUGAUCAUGAAGGGCAAAUGGCAGUGAAGCAAGAAGAGCUGGCUUCAGGCUCAGAAGAGAAUGCUGUGCCUCUUCCUCAUGGUUUGCGGUGCCCUGCAUGUUCAGAGAAACUUCUCUAGUUUCAGCUGACAUCACUCUCUCAAAAGAAUCGCUGGCACAGGAAUCUUCAUCUCAAGUUCUGCUUCUUGAGAACAUAGCCUGAAACAAGCGUAUGAUUUUAAAACAAUCAUGCAAAGAGGACAAGGAUUGAAAAGAUCAAUAAUGAAGAUAAAAGCAACAACAACAAAAUGGCAGAACUAGUUCUUUUCCUACUUCUGGUAUAAUUUCUUCU